UACGGAGGGUGCAAGCGUUGUUCGGAUUUACUGGGCGUAAAGCGCGCGCAGGUGGGUGUGCAAGUCGGAAGUGAAAUCCUGGGGCUCAACCCUGGGGCUGCUGCCGAAACUGCAUGUCUUGGGACUGGUAGGGGCUGGUAGAAUUCCCGGUGUAGCGGUGGAAUGCGUAGAUAUCGGGAAGAAUACCCGUGGCGAAGGCGGCCAGCUGGGCCAGAUCCGACACUGAGGCGCGAAAGCGUGGGGAGCAAACAGG
rnacentral:rRNA from 1 species